rnacentral:misc_RNA from 1 species
GGGAAGAUACACAUUAUUUGCUGUAUAUUUAUGAUUUGAUGAGGAUGAAACUGUCCUCAAUGCCCCGUGAAUCUGAAGAAUCUGAUCUUCCUUUGGUAGAGGUCUACAAGCGAAGUUAUGACAUAUGCAUGCAUCUUUAUGAGAAGGAACUGUUGACAGAGAGUUCAUAUCUUUAUGUUUACGGAUUGCAGGGUUCUGGUUUCAAUGCUCAACAGCUUGCUGUUGCUGCAGGUCUCUUUGAAUGGCGAGAUGUCGUUGCUCGUGCAGAGGAUGAAAGUACUGGUUACAUAUUGCCAAACAAAACACUACUGGAAAUCGCCAAGCAGAUGCCUGUCACCGUGAACAAAUUACGUAGACUUCUGAAAGCAAAGCAUCCAUAUAUUGAGCGCAAUCUUGCUUCAAUUGUUACCAUCAUUAGGCAUUCGAUGCUUAAUUCUUGUGCAUUUGAAGAGGCUGCCGAGCGUUUGAAGGAAGUCCGUACAGAGGCGGCAUCUGAAGAAAAUGCAUCGGCUAAUGAACAUCAAGAAACUAACAUUCCCGAUACAAUUCCGAAUAUGAAAGACAGUGCUGUCAAUAAUACUGCCAGUGAUCGAAUUUGUUCGCCCUCUUCUCAAUCUAAAGUUGCACCCUUGGAACGUGGAUAUCGGCC